AUACUGAUGAAGAGUCUCAAACCAGGGCGAAACAGCUGUCCAGUAC
rnacentral:hammerhead_ribozyme from 1 species